rnacentral:lncRNA from 1 species
UCGAGAAAACACUCCCAACAAGAUUGCUUGCUCCAAAAUCGAAGAGGCACCGUCCUCCGAAUCUCGAGAGCCAGACUCCCAACAUGACUACUUUCUCAAAAGCGAAGAGAGGGUAAAGGAACAGUACCAUUGCUGGAUAAUUGGAAAGUCUCUGUGUGUCAACCUUUGUGCUUCGUGGCAAGGUAGACUAGCAAACAUGUCCAACCUUUACUCACAUUCGAGACAACACUCCCAACAGGAUUGCUUGCUCCAAAAUCGAAGAGGCACCGCCCUCCGAAUCUCGAGAGCCAGACUCCCAACAUGAUUACUUCCUCAAAAAUCGAAGAGACACUGC